AGAGUUUGAUCCUGGCUCAGGACGAACCUGGCGGCGUGCUUAACACAUGCAAGUCGAACGGUGAACCUGCUUCGGUGGGGGAUCAGUGGCGAACGGGUGAGUAACACGUGGGCAACCUGCCCCUGGCUCUGGGAUAACUCCAAGAAAUUGGGGCUAAUACCGGAUAUGACCCUGACCGCAUGGUCUGGUGGUGGAAAGAUUUAUCGGCUGGGGAUGGGCCCGCGGCCUAUCAGCUUGUUGGUGGGGUAGUGGCCUACCAAGGCGACGACGGGUAGCCGGCCUGAGAGGGUGACCGGCCACACUGGGACUGAGACACGGCCCAGACUCCUACGGGAGGCAGCAGUGGGGAAUAUUGCGCAAUGGGCGAAAGCCUGACGCAGCGACGCCGCGUGGGGGAUGACGGCCUUCGGGUUGUAAACCUCUUUCAGCAGGGACGAAGCGGAAGUGACGGUACCUGCAGAAGAAGCACCGGCCAACUACGUGCCAGCAGCCGCGGUAAUACGUAGGGUGCAAGCGUUGUCCGGAAUUAUUGGGCGUAAAGAGCUCGUAGGCGGUUCGUCGCGUCGGCUGUGAAAUCCCGAGGCUCAACCUCGGGUCUGCAGUCGAUACGGGCGGACUUGAGUUCGGCAGGGGAGACUGGAAUUCCUGGUGUAGCGGUGAAAUGCGCAGAUAUCAGGAGGAACACCGGUGGCGAAGGCGGGUCUCUGGGCCGAUACUGACGCUGAGGAGCGAAAGCGUGGGGAGCGAACAGGAUUAGAUACCCNNGUAGUCC
rnacentral:rRNA from 1 species